GCGAACGGGUGAGUAACACGUGGGUGAUCUGCCCUGCACUUCGGGAUAAGCCCGGGAAACUGGGUCUAAUACCGGAUAGGACUGCGCGGUGCAUGCCGUGUGGUGGAAAGAUUUAUCGGUGCAGGAUGGGCCCGCGGCCUAUCAGCUUGUUGGUGGGGUAAUGGCCUACCAAGGCGACGACGGGUAGCCGGCCUGAGAGGGCGACCGGCCACACUGGGACUGAGACACGGCCCAGACUCCUACGGGAGGCAGCAGUGGGGAAUAUUGCACAAUGGGCGCAAGCCUGAUGCAGCGACGCCGCGUGAGGGAUGACGGCCUUCGGGUUGUAAACCUCUUUCAGCAGGGACGAAGCGUGAGUGACGGUACCUGCAGAAGAAGCACCGGCCAACUACGUGCCAGCAGCCGCGGUAAUACGUAGGGUGCAAGCGUUGUCCGGAAUUACUGGGCGUAAAGAGCUCGUAGGCGGUUUGUCGCGUCGUCUGUGAAAACCAGCAGCUCAACUGUUGGCUUGCAGGCGAUACGGGCAGACUUGAGUAUUUCAGGGGAGACUGGAAUUCCUGGUGUAGCGGUGAAAUGCGCAGAUAUCAGGAGGAACACCGGUGGCGAAGGCGGGUCUCUGGGAAAUAACUGACGCUGAGGAGCGAAAGCGUGGGUAGCGAACAGGAUUAGAUACCCUGGUAGUCCAC
rnacentral:rRNA from 1 species